rnacentral:tRNA from 1 species
ACCGGCGUAGCUUAAACGGAAAAAGCAGGAGGCCUCUCAACCUCACGAUCUCAGUUCAAGUCUGGGCGCCGGUG